rnacentral:rRNA from 1 species
AACUAAGCAUAUCAAUAAGCGGAGGAAAAGAAACUAACAAGGAUUCCCCUAGUAACUGCGAGUGAAGCGGGAAAAGCUCAAAUUUAAAAUCUGGCAGUCUCUGGCUGUCCGAGUUGUAAUCUAGAGAAGUAAUGCCCGUGCUGGACCGUGUAUAAGUCUCCUGGGAUGGGGCGUCAUAGAGGGUGAGAAUCCCGUCUUUGACACGGACUACCAGUGCAUUGUGGUAUGCUCUCAAAGAGUCGAGUUGUUUGGGAAUGCAGCUCAAAAUGGGUGGUAAAUUCCAUCUAAAGCUAAAUAUUGGCGAGAGACCGAUAGCGAACAAGUACCGUGAGGGAAAGAUGAAAAGAACUUUGGAAAGAGAGUUAAACAGUACGUGAAAUUGCUGAAAGGGAAACGCUUGAAGUCAGUCGCGUUGGCCGGGAAUCAGCCUUGCUUUUGCAUGGUGUACUUUCUGGUUGACGGGUCAGCAUCAAUUUUGACCACUGGAAAAGGACCUGGGGAAUGUGGCAGCUUCGGCUGUGUUAUAGCCCCUAGUCGCAUACAGUGGUUGGGAUUGAGGAACUCAGCACGCCGCAAGGCCGGGUUUCGACCACGUCCGUGCUUAGGAUGCUGGCAUAAUGGCUUUAAGCGACCCGUCUUGAAACACGGACCAAGGAGUCUAACAUGCCUGCGAGUAUUUGGGUGGAAAACUCAAGUGCGUAAUGAAAGUGAAAGUUGAGAUCCCUGUCGUGGGGAGCAUCGACGCCCGGACCAGAACUUUUGGGACGGAUCCGCGGUGGAGCAUGUAUGUUGGGACCCGAAAGAUGGUGAACUAUGCCUGAAUAGGGUGAAGCCAGAGGAAACUCUGGUGGAGGCUCGUAGCGAUUCUGACGUGCAAAUCGAUCGUCAAAUUUGGGUAUAGGGGCGAAAGACUAAUCGAACCAUCUAGUAGCUGGUUCCUGCCGAAUUCCCUC